UAAUAUCCCAUAGUAUCCCAACCAAAUAUUCCUAUUUAUUGACCAUAAUAUCUCAGCCAAAUAUCCCUAUUUAUUGACUAUACAUACCCAGACUAUAAUAUCCCGAUUUAUUAACCCUCAUAUCCCUAUUUGUUGACCAUAAUAUCCCAUAGUAUCCCAACCAAAUAUUCCUAUUUAUUGACCAUAACAUCUCAAUUUAUUGACCAUAAUAUCCCAGUCAAAUAUCCCUAUUUAUUGAGCAUCCUUAUAUGGACUCGGGUGUCUGUCUCUCAUUAGAUGCGGACCAUGUGUCUGCUCCCUUAUAUAUGUACCUAUAUGUAUUUAUGUUGUAUGUUUGCUGCAGCUUGAUUGGCCCAUGACUGUAAUAGAUUCACAUUUAUGUAUUUUUAUUUUUUUUACAUUUUUAAAAAAUAAG